UAGUUAAAAGCCCACCUGGUAAGGUUCCAUUAACAGUGAAAAUUCAUUAAUUUCAGCUGUCUCUGAAGCUGACUGUGCAGAGACAAUAAGCAAGUCUGCAUCCACUCACAACCUCACCUAGUGGCAAGAGUGGAUGUACAUUGCAUUGCUUGCAACUGUUUCUACAUCACUGGAGGUUCUUUCUUUUAGAAUCGGGUAUCUGUGAUUCAGCUGUACCAAAGAUCACUUGCCAGAAAGGGAAGAUCCUUCUUCAGCAGCUCUGCAAAUGUUCCACACACAGUUGUUUUGUUUCCUGCAUGCCAUGGAUAUGGACAUCGUGCUGUGCAUCUAAUGGUGGCCUUGGAUGCAUGCUCUGUAUUCUACAUUUCCUGCUAAGUCCCAGUCACACAGAAAUGGUUGGAAAAGGAUGCCGAGUAACUUCCACAACUUUUACAAUGAGGUGUAUGAAGCAAGGCAGCGUGCUGUGGAACAGAGACGUGGUGCAAUCAGCUUAAGCAGGAGAAUAGUUGAGCUGCUCUUAGCAACA